rnacentral:SRP_RNA from 1 species
CAAGGCCCGCGCAAUCGGCGCGUGCCGAACCCCGCCAGGGCCGGAAGGCAGCAACGGUAAGCAAUGCAAAGAUGUGCCGCGGGGCACCUUGGCCUUU